rnacentral:rRNA from 1 species
CGGGUACUCGAGUGGCGAACCGGGUGAGUAACACGUGGGUGAUCUGCCUCUGCACUUCGGGAUAAGCUUGGGAAACUGGGUCUAAUACCGGAUAGGACAGCUGUUUAGUGUCAGUUGUGGAAAGUUUUUCGGUGCAAGAUGAGCUCGCGGCCUAUCAGCUUGUUGGUGGGGUAAUGGCCUACCAAGGCGUCGACGGGUAGCCGGCCUGAGAGGGUGUACGGCCACAUUGGGACUGAGAUACGGCCCAGACUCCUACGGGAGGCAGCAGUGGGGAAUAUUGCACAAUGGGCGGAAGCCUGAUGCAGCGACGCCGCGUGGGGGAUGAAGGCCUUCGGGUUGUAAACUCCUUUCGACAGGGACGAAGCGUAAGUGACGGUACCUGUAUAAGAAGCACCGGCUAACUACGUGCCAGCAGCCGCGGUAAUACGUAGGGUGCGAGCGUUGUCCGGAAUUACUGGGCGUAAAGAGCUCGUAGGUGGUUUGUCGCGUCGUCUGUGAAAUUCCGGGGCUUAACUCCGGGCGUGCAGGCGAUACGGGCUGACUUGAGUGCUGUAGGGGAGACUGGAAUUCCUGGUGUAGCGGUGAAAUGCGCAGAUAUCAGGAGGAACACCGAUGGCGAAGGCAGGUCUCUGGGCAGUAACUGACGCUGAGGAGCGAAAGCAUGGGUAGCGAACAGGAUUAGAUACCCUGGUAGUCCAUGCCGUAAACGGUGGGCGCUAGGUGUAGGGGGCUUCCACGUCUUCUGUGCCGUAGCUAACGCAUUAAGCGCCCCGCCUGGGGAGUACGCCGCAAGG